CCUAAUAGGUGACCUGACGGGAGGACAUUACUGUGAUUUAGUACUACACUGCGUGAGCGGAACGAAAACAAAAACACCUAAAAUGUGGAAUAUAGCAUAUAGUCGACAAGAGAAAUCUACGAAAAACAAACAAAACUUUCAACAACGGAUCUCUUGGUUCUCGCAUCGAUGAAGAGCGCAGCGAAAUGCGAUACCUAGUGUGAAUUGCAGCCAUCGUGAAUCAUCGAGUUCUUGAACGCACAUUGCGCCCCUCGGCAUUCCGGGGGGCAUGCCUGUUUGAGCGUCGUUUCCAUCUUGCGCGUGCGCAGAGUUGGGGGAGCGGAGCGGACGACGUGUAAAGAGCGUCGGAGCUGCGACUCGCCUGAAAGGGAGCGAAGCUGGCCGAGCGAACUAGACUUUUUUUCAGGGACGCUUGGCGGCCGAGAGCGAGUGUUGCGAGACAACAAAAAGCUCGACCUCAAAUCAGGUAGGAAUACCCGCUGAACUUAAGCAUAUCAAUAAGCGGAGGAACAG
rnacentral:rRNA from 1 species